rnacentral:rRNA from 1 species
AUAGAGUUUGAUCAUGGCUCAGAACGAACGCUUGCUGCAUGCUUUAUACAUGCAAGUCGAACGAAGGCCCUAGCUUGCUAGGUGUCCUUAGUGGCGCACGGGUGAGUAACACGUGGGAACAUACCUCAUAGUACGGAAUAACUGCGGGAAACUGUAGCUAAUACCGUAUAUUCCAGAAAUGGGAAAGAUUUAUCGCUAUGAGAUUGGCCCGCGCAAGAUUAGCUUGUUGGUAAGGUAACGGCUUACCAAGGCUCCGAUCUUUAGCUGGUUUGAGAGGAUGAUCAGCCACACUGGGACUGAGACACGGCCCAGACUCCUACGGGAGGCAGCAGUAGGGAAUAUUGGACAAUGGGGGAAACCCUGAUCCAGCAAUGCAGCGUGAGUGACGAAGGCCUUAGGGUUGUAAAACUCUUUCAUCGGUGAGGAUAAUGACAGUAGCCGAAGAAGAAGGACCGGCUAAUUCCGUGCCAGCAGCCGCGGUAAUACGGAAGGUCCUAGCGUUGUUCGGAAUUACUGGGCGUAAAGCGCAUGUAGGCGGAACAAAAAGUUAGAAGUGAAAUCCCUGGGCUCAACCUAGGAAUUGCUUUUAAAACUUUUGUUCUGGAAUUCAGGAGAGGAAAAUGGAAUUUCCAGUGUAGAGGUGAAAUUCGUAGAUAUUGGAAGGAACACCAGUGGCGAAGGCGAUUUUCUGGACUGAUAUUGACGCUGAGAUGCGAAAGCAUGGGUAGCAAACGGGAUUAGAUACCCCGGUAGUCCAUGCAGUAAACGAUGGGUGCUAGUCGUCGGACUUUUGUUCGGUGUCGUAGCUAACGCGUUAAGCACCCCGCCUGGGGGAGUACGGUCGCAAGAUUAAAACUCAAAUAAAUUUGACGGGGACCCGCACAAGCAGUGGAGCAUGUGGNUUAAUUCGACGCAACGCGAAGANCUUACAGCGUUUGACAUGGGAAGUGCCGGUUACAGAAUGGUAACCUUCAGUUCGGCUGGCU